rnacentral:tmRNA from 1 species
GGGGCUGACCGGUUUUGACGGCGUGAAGCCAUUGCAAGUAUAAGCAUGUAUGGAGUUGAGAGGAUCUCCAUUUAAAAAUUCUUUCAAACAACAACUGGCAAUACACAGUAUGCCAUGGCUGCCUAAUCUAGGAUAGAUUACGCUAAUGCCACAUCCCUCCGCUGCUAACCUCUGCCGUGGCGGAUCAAGGGGUGUCAACACGCAGAGGCGUUUUUCGGCGGGUUUCUAGCCGGAUGAUAGUAUCUGAGGAACUAAGGUGAGGGCUUGCUACGCUGAACGGCAUCCCAAUCCCGACAAACAAGAUCAGCUAAACAUGUAGAAGGCUUGACAGUAGCCAUGUUCGGACCAGGGUUCGAAUCCCUGCAGCUCCACCA